GGCUCGUUGGUCUAGGGGUAUGAUUCUUGCUAUAGGUGCAAGAUGUCCUGGAUUCAAGUCUUAAGACGAGCCC